GCUAUAUGCAGUCGACGCUUCUUUUUCCACCGGAGCUUGCUCCACCGGAAAAAGAGGAGUGGCGAACGGGUGAGUAACACGUGGGUAACCUGCCCAUCAGAAGGGGAUAACACUUGGAAACAGGUGCUAAUACCGUAUAACAAUCAAAACCGCAUGGUUUUGAUUUGAAAGGCGCUUUCGGGUGUCGCUGAUGGAUGGACCCGCGGUGCAUUAGCUAGUUGGUGAGGUAACGGCUCACCAAGGCCACGAUGCAUAGCCGACCUGAGAGGGUGAUCGGCCACAUUGGGACUGAGACACGGCCCAAACUCCUACGGGAGGCAGCAGUAGGGAAUCUUCGGCAAUGGACGAAAGUCUGACCGAGCAACGCCGCGUGAGUGAAGAAGGUUUUCGGAUCGUAAAACUCUGUUGUUAGAGAAGAACAAGGAUGAGAGUAACUGUUCAUCCCUUGACGGUAUCUAACCAGAAAGCCACGGCUAACUACGUGCCAGCAGCCGCGGUAAUACGUAGGUGGCAAGCGUUGUCCGGAUUUAUUGGGCGUAAAGCGAGCGCAGGCGGUUUCUUAAGUCUGAUGUGAAAGCCCCCGGCUCAACCGGGGAGGGUCAUUGGAAACUGGGAGACUUGAGUGCAGAAGAGGAGAGUGGAAUUCCAUGUGUAGCGGUGAAAUGCGUAGAUAUAUGGAGGAACACCAGUGGCGAAGGCGGCUCUCUGGUCUGUAACUGACGCUGAGGCUCGAAAGCGUGGGGAGCAAACAGGAUUAGAUACCCUGGUAGUCCACGCCGUAAACGAUGAGUGCUAAGUGUUGGAGGGUUUCCGCCCUUCAGUGCUGCAGCUAACGCAUUAAGCACUCCGCCUGGGGAGUACGACCGCAAGGUUGAAACUCAAAGGAAUUGACGGGGGCCCGCACAAGCGGUGGAGCAUGUGGUUUAAUUCAAAGCAACGCGAAGAACCUUACCAGGUCUUGACAUCCUUUGACCACUCUAGAGAUAGAGCUUCCCCUUCGGGGGCAAAGUGACAGGUGGUGCAUGGUUGUCGUCAGCUCGGGUCAGGAGAUGUUGGGUUAAGUCCCGCAACGAGCGCAACCCUUAUUGUUAGUUGCCAUCAUUCAGUUGGGCACUCUAACAAGACUGCCGGUGAAACCGGAAGGAAGGUGGGGAUGACGUCAAUCAUCUGCCCCUUUACCUGGGCUACCGUGCUACAAUGGGAAGUACACCGAGUUCGAAAUCCCGAGCUAAGCUAAUUCCUUAAGUCUCAUUUCGAAUGGAGGUCCAACUCCCUGCUAAACCGGAAUCCUUAACCGGUACCCCCCGGGGAAAAUUUCCCCGGGCCUUAACCAAGUUUAGGGGGGAUAAAAAAUGGUUAAU
rnacentral:rRNA from 1 species